rnacentral:rRNA from 1 species
ACUCCUACGGGAGGCAGCAGUGGGGAAUAUUGCACAAUGGGCGCAAGCCUGAUGCAGCCAUGCCGCGUGUGUGAAGAAGGCCUUCGGGUUGUAAAGCACUUUCAGUUGUGAGGAAGGUGGUGUCGUUAAUAGCGGCAUCAUUUGACGUUAGCAACAGAAGAAGCACCGGCUAACUCCGUGCCAGCAACCGCGGUAAUACGGAGGGUGCGAGCGUUAAUCGGAAUUACUGGGCGUAAAGCGCAUGCAGGUGGUUUGUUAAGUCAGAUGUGAAAGCCCGGGGCUCAACCUCGGAACUGCAUUUGAAACUGGCAGCUAGAGUACUGUAGAGGGGGGUAGAAUUUCAGGUGUAGCGGUGAAAUGCGUAGAGAUCUGAAGGAAUACCGGUGGCGAAGCGGCCCCCUGGACAGAUACUGACACUCAGAUGCGAAAGCGUGGGGAGCAAACAGGAUUAGAUACCCUGGGAGCACAGAG